rnacentral:tRNA from 1 species
CCAGGGGAGGUCNAACUCUCGACCUUCAGAUUAUGAGACUGACGCUCUUCCGACUGAGCUACUGAAGC